rnacentral:rRNA from 1 species
UACGUAGGGUGCGAGCGUUAUCCGGAAUUAUUGGGCGUAAAGCGCGCGCAGGCGGUUUCUUAAGUCUGAUGUGAAAGCCCACGGCUCAACCGUGGAGGGUCAUUGGAAACUGGGGAACUUGAGUGCAGAAGAGAAAAGCGGAAUUCCACGUGUAGCGGUGAAAUGCGUAGAGAUGUGGAGGAACACCAGUGGCGAAGGCGGCUUUUUGGUCUGUAACUGACGCUGAGGCGCGAAAGCGUGGGGAGCAAACAGG